UAAGAUUUUAAGUUAAUUAAACUAUUUGCCUUCAAAGCAAAAAAUAUUUUUAAAUAAAUCUUAA
rnacentral:tRNA from 1 species